rnacentral:rRNA from 1 species
UUGACCUCAAAUCAGGUAGGACUACCCGCUGAACUUAAGCAUAUCAAUAAGCGGAGGAAAAGAAACUAACAAGGAUUCCCCUAGUAACUGCGAGUGAAGAGGGAAGAGCUCAAAUUUGAAAUCUGGCAGUGUUUUGCUGUCCGAGUUGUAAUCUAGAGAAGUGCUGCCCGUGCUGGACCAUGUACAAGUCUCCUGGAAUGGAGCGUCACAGAGGGUGAGAAUCCCGUCUUUGACAUGGACUGCCAGUGCAUUUGUGGUGUGCUCUCAAAGAGUCGAGUUGUUUGGGAAUGCAGCUCUAAAUGGGUGGUAAACUCCAUCUAAAGCUAAAUAUUGGCGAGAGACCGAUAGCGAACAAGUACCGUGAGGGAAAGAUGAAAAGAACUUUGGAAAGAGAGUUAAACAGUAUGUGAAAUUGUUGAAAGGGAAACGCUUAAAGUCAGUCGUGUCGGCCAGGGAUCAACUCAGUAUUAUCUGCUGGGUGUACUUCCUGAUCUGAUGGGCCAACAUCAGUUUUGACUGCUGGAGAAGGAUAGAGGGAAUGUGGCACCUUCGGGUGUGUUAUAGCUCUCUGUCGGAUGCAGUGGUUGGGACUGAGGAAAGCAGCAUGCCGCAAGGCCGGGUCGUUUCGACCACGUUCAUGCUGAGGAUGUUGGCAUAAUGGCUUUAAUCGACCCGUCUUGAAACACGGACCAAGGAGUCUAACAUGCCUGCGAGUGUUUGGGUGGCAAACCCGAGUGCGGAAUGAAAGUGAAAGGUUGAGAUCCCUGUCAUGGGGAGCAUCGACGCCCGGACCUGAGCACAUUGCAAAGGAUCUGCGGUAGAGCAUGUAUGUUAGGACCCGAAAGAUGGUGAACUAUGCCUGAAUAGGGUGAAGCCAGAGGAAACUCUGGUGGAGGCUGGUAGCGAUUCUGACGUGCAAAUCGAUCGUCGAAUUGGGUAUAGGGGCGAAAGACUAAUCGA